AACGAACGCUGGCGGCAGGCUUAACACAUGCAAGUCGAACGCCCCGCAAGGGGAGUGGCAGACGGGUGAGUAACGCGUGGGGACAUACCCUUUUCUACGGAAUAGCUCUGGGAAACUGGAAUUAAUACCGUAUACGCCCUACGGGGGAAAGAUUUAUCGGGGAAGGAUUGGCCCGCGUUGGAUUAGCUAGUUGGUGGGGUAAAGGCCUACCAAGGCGACGAUCCAUAGCUGGUCUGAGAGGAUGAUCAUCCACAUUGGGGCUGAGACACGGCCCGAACUCCUACGGGAGGCAGCAGUGGGGGAUAGUGGACAAUGGGGUCAAGCCUGAUCCAGCCAGGCCGCGUGAGUGAUGAAGGCCUUAGAGUUGUAAAGCUCUUUCACCGAUGAAGAUAAUGACGGUAGUCGGAGAAGAAGCCCCGGCUAACUUCGUG
rnacentral:rRNA from 1 species